rnacentral:rRNA from 1 species
GAGUUUGAUCCUGGCUCAGGAUGAACGCUGGCGGGAGGCUUAACACAUGCAAGUCGAGGGGUAUAAGUAGCAAUAUUUAGAGACCGGCGCACGGGUGAGUAACGCGUAUGCAACCUGCCCUUUACAGGGGGAUAGCCCGUAGAAAUGCGGAUUAAUACCCCAUAGUACUAUUGGAUCGCAUGGUUUGAUAGUUAAAGUUUCGGCGGUAAAGGAUGGGCAUGCGUGACAUUAGCUAGUUGGUGAGGUAACGGCUCACCAAGGCUACGAUGUCUAGGGGUUCUGAGAGGAAGAUCCCCCACACUGGUACUGAGACACGGACCAGACUCCUACGGAAGGCAGCAGUGAGGAAUAUUGGUCAAUGGGCGGGAGCCUGAACCAGCCAUCCCGCGUGCAGGAAGAAUGCCCUAUGGGUUGUAAACUGCUUUUUCGCAUGAAGAACACUCCGGUCGUGACCGGAGCUGACGGUAAUGCGUGAAUAAGCACCGGCUAACUCCGUGCCAGCAGCCGCGGUAAUACGGAGGGUGCAAGCGUUAUCCGGAUUUAUUGGGUUUAAAGGGUGCGUAGGCGGUAAUUUAAGUCAGUGGUGAAAUCCUGCAGCUCAACUGUAGAACAGCCAUUGAAACUGA